rnacentral:rRNA from 1 species
AAAUUGAAGAGUUUGAUCAUGGCUCAGAUUGAACGCUGGCGGCAGGCCUAACACAUGCAAGUCGAACGGUAACAGGAAGCAGCUUGCUGCUUUGCUGACGAGUGGCGGACGGGUGAGUAAUGUCUGGGAAACUGCCUGAUGGAGGGGGAUAACUACUGGAAACGGUAGCUAAUACCGCAUAACGUCGCAAGACCAAAGAGGGGGACCUUCGGGCCUCUUGCCAUCGGAUGUGCCCAGAUGGGAUUAGCUAGUAGGUGGGGUAACGGCUCACCUAGGCGACGAUCCCUAGCUGGUCUGAGAGGAUGACCAGCCACACUGGAACUGAGACACGGUCCAGACUCCUACGGGAGGCAGCAGUGGGGAAUAUUGCACAAUGGGCGCAAGCCUGAUGCAGCCAUGCCGCGUGUAUGAAGAAGGCCUUCGGGUUGUAAAGUACUUUCAGCGGGGAGGAAGGGAGUAAAGUUAAUACCUUUGCUCAUUGACGUUACCCGCAGAAGAAGCACCGGCUAACUCCGUGCCAGCAGCCGCGGUAAUACGGAGGGUGCAAGCGUUAAUCGGAAUUACUGGGCGUAAAGCGCACGCAGGCGGUUUGUUAAGUCAGAUGUGAAAUCCCCGGGCUCAACCUGGGAACUGCAUCUGAUACUGGCAAGCUUGAGUCUCGUAGAGGGGGGUAGAAUUCCAGGUGUAGCGGUGAAAUGCGUAGAGAUCUGGAGGAAUACCGGUGGCGAAGGCGGCCCC